rnacentral:rRNA from 1 species
CACUGACAUUAGAUACCCCCGUAGUCCCAGCCGUAAACAAUGUGCGUUAGGUGUGUCGGUAACCACGCGUUACUGAUGCGCCGAAGAGAAAUCGUGAAACGCACCACCUGGGAAGUACGGUCGCAAGGCUGAAACUUAAAGGAAUUGGCGGGGGAGCACCACAACAGGUGGAGCCUGCGGUUUAAUUGGAUUCAACGCCGGACAUCUCACCGGAUAAGACAGCUGAAUGAUUGUCAAUCUGAAGGUUUUACAUGACUAGCUG